rnacentral:lncRNA from 1 species
ACGAAAGGAUGAGAGGAGAAAUGUCAAAAGAGAAAUAGACCUGUUUCACAGCCAUAUCAUGUGGUUGCUUCAGUCCCACAUUCAAGGCCAGCGAUGAAGUAUAGGAACUGGCACCAAAGGAACGAUCAUAACACAUCUCAACAGAACACCUGUUACCUGUACCCCCACCUCAGCCCUGUGUCACCUCAGCAUCUUAUGCAAUGGUUUUAUUCUCUAAUCUUUCUCCCCACAAGAUACUGAGAAGAGAAGAGCUAGUACUCUCCCUCUUGGGGGGAGGGGAAGCUGAGUCCAGGACAAGCCUGAAUCCUUAGGGAGCCAACCAGGCACAGAUACCACACUUCUCUGCAGCUCCACCUGGACAAAUAGCUCACCUGGGGCCUUAGGAACCUCCUAGAGCAGGAGUUCUCCUGUUGGUCAUCUCAUGUCCCACGACUUGGAGAGCAGAGCAAGUCUGAUUUCCAGCGUAGCCCUGAGCACACUUCCACUCAAAGCUGGACAUCAGAGAGUUCUCAACAUACUCUACAUUCUUGGCAGAUGCCAGGCAUAAUGCCUGCCUUCAGGAUGAAAUUAACCCCUGACCUCCUCAAGCUUGAUCAGAUGCCAGUCAAGACUCACGUCAAAACCAGCAGCAAUAAACCACAGCCUCUGGGCACGUGGCAGGAGGUGGACAGAUGAACUGCCUUCUUCUCAAGAUUCAUCGCAGGCCAUACAUUCACUCCUCCAGGUGAAGAAAAAGAGUGCGAAAGGGAUGCAGACCUCAGCCUGCACCUGGCUUCAUUAAGAAUGACCUCUUGGGAAAACUGCUGAGGAAAUGUAAAGAUCUCAUGUUGUUUCCACUUGGAGAUAUUGCUGUCCGAGUUUCAGUUGCAUUUGGACCUUCUUAAGGUAGAAGCUCAGGAGUCACCCUCGAUGCCUUUGUGUCUUACCUCCCACAUUCAGUUCAUCUGCAAUCUCAUCGGUUCUGUGUUCAAAGGACUUCCCAAGUGUGUGUGCUUCUCUCCAGCUCGCUGCCACCACCUGAGUCAAGGUUACCACUCCCUCUCUCUCUUCCCCCUACAAUCAAGUUUUCUACCAACAGCCCAAGAAGGAAGGAAGAAAAUUCCAAGGAAGUUGCAGGAAUUAAGGUGACCAGACUCUGGCGGCCACUUGGAUUUUCCCAACAUCUGUCUGUGACAGGCCUGGUCCAGGCCCUGGAGUCCUGAGCACGGGGGGUUCUGCAGGGAAGGACGGAGAGAGGCAGUGCUCUGCAGUGGCCGCAACAGUAACGCGAGGCCCUACCGCCCACAUCACCGACUGAGGACAUGCCAGACGCUUAGUCCGUAGGAGG